CGCGCCUUUAUGGAAACGUAAACAAACAGUAAUCGGUGUCGCGAUCGGCGUCUUCUGCUCAAUACCGAUAAUACCUACUCAUUUGAUUGGCCAUGGGAUUUUAAUCAGAAUUUUAGGGUGGACAUCGCCGCUUUUCGAUAUUAAUCGCAAGGAACUCGGCCUUGAAAUUUUCUUGACAUGAGCAAGAGAAGUCUAUGGAGUCAUUUUACCGAAUAGAAUAGGAAGACCGGCCUGGAGUUGCACCUGUCCUGGACAUCAGCCGUGCGGCCCAUGGAAUCAUCAGAUAUAAGUUGAGUUGGCGUCACAAUGAUUACAGCUGGUCCAGUUAUUUUAUUUUAUUGUAAAGUCCCUUUGAGUAAGCUUGAAUGAUUUUCUCUCUGGCACCAAACUUUGUUGGCCAUCUAAAGUCACUUUUCACGACAGGGGUGUUUUCAGAACCUAGCCAUAAUUUACCCCA